rnacentral:rRNA from 1 species
GGUGGUGCAUGGUUGUCGUCAGCUCGUGUCGUGAGAUGUUGGGUUAAGUCCCGCAACGAGCGCAACCCCUAUUGUUAGUUGCCAUCAUUCAGUUGGGCACUCUAGCGAGACUGCCGGUAAUAAACCGGAGGAAGGUGGGGGAUGACGUCAAAUCAUCAUGCCCCUUAUGACCUGGGCUACACACGUGCUACAAUGGUUGGUACAACGAGUUGCGAGUCGGUGACGGCGAGCUAAUCUCUUAAAGCCAAUCUCAGUUCGGAUUGUAGGCUGCAACUCGCCUACAUGAAGUCGGAAUCGCUAGUAAUCGCGGAUCAGCACGCCGCGGUGAAUACGUUCCCGGGCCUU